GUAGGUGAACCUGCGGAAGGAUCAUUAGCGAGAUUGUUGGUGGGUUGUGUUUGGUGGGUUGGGUGGGUGGGUUGUGGUUGGAGUGGUUGUUGGUGUUGUUGUCUGUGGUUGUUUGCGGGGCGGGGAAUCGUCCUGCAGUUGCCACAUUGUGUUGUAUAACCACAGCAUCACACAUCACAUCAAAUCCACUCACAUCACCAUGCCACUCACUCACUCACACAUCACCAUACCACUUAUAUUUACCCCAAAA
rnacentral:misc_RNA from 1 species